GAUGAACGCUAGCGGCAGGCUUAAUACAUGCAAGUCGAGGGGCAGCAUGAUUGUAGCAAUACAAUUGAUGGCGACCGGCAAACGGGUGCGGAACACGUACACAACCUUCCAACAAGUGGGGGAUAGCCCAGAGAAAUUUGGAUUAAUACCCCGUAACAUAGCGAUGUGGCAUCACAUUGCUAUUAUAGAUUUUUCGCUUGUUGAUGGGUGUGCGGCUGAUUAGAUAGUUGGCGGGGUAACGGCCCACCAAGUCUACGAUCAGUAGCUGAUGUGAGAGCAUGAUCAGCCACACGGGCACUGAGACACGGGCCCGACUCCUACGGGAGGCAGCAGUAAGGAAUAUUGGACAAUGGACGCAAGUCUGAUCCAGCCAUGCCGCGUGAGGGAUUAAGGUCCUCUGGAUUGUAAACUUCUUUUAUAAGGGACGAAAAAAGGCUUUUCUAAGUCGUCUGACGGUACCUUAUGAAUAAGCACCGGCUAACCCCGUGCCAGCAGCCGCCGUAAAAC
rnacentral:rRNA from 1 species